rnacentral:lncRNA from 1 species
AAAACUCUCAUUCAGCUUCCACCGUCACCACCAACACAGUAAACCUUGGUGCUCCAUCCCACACCACCGUCACCUCCACUUUCUUUUAAUCGAUUCUCUCCGAUUUCACUUUUUCUCUCUCUAAUUUCACUCGCCUUGGUAAAGUAACCCACUCACUCAUCUUCAUCUUCUUCUUCGCCUUCUACUAAUUUGAGUAUACAAUUUGUGGUGGAUCGAAUUUAUCUAGAGGUUAGAAGGAAGUUAACUUUGUUUCUUCAAUUGCUUGGACAGGUAAUUAAGUUGGCCUCCAGACCUCUAUUGAUGUCUCUUAUUCUUCAUCUGUUUGCAUAAAUUAGCCAGGCCAAUAAACAAUGUUGCAUAAAAACAAUCAAAUCAAUUUAAUGGUAGCAAUACAUUGCUUCUAAACACUAAGAUCAAAGCCCCCCCCCCCCCCCCCCUCCCCUGUCUGUAAAUGCUAGAAAAGUUAUACCGACGAAGGACGAUAUCUAUAUAGUAUAAGACAUUUUAACCAGCCCUUAGACUGGUAACUUAACUUGGUUUCUUCAAUUAACUUGAACUGCAGAUUCACACAAACUUAACAUGGUUUCUUCAAUUGCUUGGACGGGUAAUUUGGUUUCUUCUAUUGCUCGUGAUUGUUCUAAUACUCUUAUUCUGUUUCACAAUUUGAUAAAUGCUUAAUUAAAGUGUUUACUGAUAUACCUGUUCUCUUAUGCAUUUGUUAAUUACCAUGUUCUUUCCAUAAUUUUUCUGUUAUUGUUAACUUCUUCUUGAUUUUGUUUUCUAUAAUCAUUCUUUCUGUUAUCCAAACUGUUAUUGCUGCCCUUUCAUACAUGUGCCUCCAUUAUUUGGGGUCCCGAACAUCUUCAUUGAAUCAUAAUGGUGCCCAUCAUAUUGAACAAUUGGAGAACGAACUGGCUGAAAUGAGAAGGACAAGACAAGAAUGAGAACAUGAAAUGCAACGUGAAAUUGUCGAAAUGAGAAGGCAAACACAAGAAAAGGAAAAGCAGGGACAGCAGGAGGCAAUGAAGAGAAGCUUUGAGGCAAAAAUAGAGAAAAUACAGAGAAACUUUGAUGAACAAUCCACGGGUAUGGAAGAAAGAAUCAUACAAACAUUGUUAUAGAGGACUGCCAAUCUUCACAAUGCUGGAAAGAGACCAGUAAGUACAUACAUCUAAACUUCCAUUUAUUUAAUUAUCUGAAAUGUUUGAAUACAUGUGCAUUUUUCUUGCUUUCGUUAGCUUGCCUCUUCUUCUAGAUAUGAAGUUCAAAUUAUUGUUUCAUACAAUAAAACUUGACUGUAAAUUGGCUUAAAAAAUGUAAAAUAUAACUUUAUUAAGAUUGAAAACUUCACUUUUGGUUUUACAUCAAAUGGUUUGUUCGUUAAGUACUGUUAAACUGACGCGAUCAGACCCCUUGACCCCCAAUGUAGUCAUUUUUCGGUAAGGAACUUAGGCUAAAGUUACAACUGUCUGAUUAUUUGUUCUAGGCUUUACAAUUUAGCAAAACAGACCUGGCAUGAGGCAGGGGUUCCUUGGAACUGCUUAGUUUUAUUUUAGAUCAUUUACCAUUAACCAAUAGAUAAAGGAGUAGGCAAAGGCUGCGAGCCUAUCAAUGGAAAUUUUUAAUGAUCCCACCAGUGUUGUUUUUUAACAAUUCCUUAACUGGCAUGUGACCUGGCGCAAUAACUCUCUAGCUGUAGAUUGCAUAGAUCUUAUUUUAUAUCCAAAUUUUUUGUGACAAAUCUGAGCAAAGAGAGCCCGGUCCAUGGACUGCAUUUAUUAAUGCUUGUUACACAAUGACACUAUCUACUUAAUGACCCUCUAAUUCAUUUGCCGGUAAUAAAAGAUGGCAACUGAUAUCUGCAGUCUUUGUUGCGCUACCAGUUUCACGUUUAAGAACUAGCUCCGGUACAAAAUUGAGCACCAAGUAAUAUUUUAUCAGAAAAAUUUCAUGUAACCCACUUAGGUUGGUGUACUACUGCAGUUGAACAAAUUUUAUUUGUUAGUGUUAGCAGUAAUUUAGUUUUGAUAUACAAUCUAUGUUCUACCUUGAGCAUGUAGUCAAAAACUAUUUCAAACUACACACGUAUUUUACAAGGUGGCUAUAAGUAUUUAGUUUGUGGAUAGAGAACUGUAUGCUGUAUUUCUCCUGCUAAUUGGUGAUUUAUUUUGUUUGAUUUUAGUUAGUUGAAAGUUGCAUUAACAAUGUCAAAAAAGAUUUUUUUAGGAUUGCUUGAACUUGUUUUGGUUCACCGGUUAGAUCACUUUAUAUGCUAGUGUUAAGAAAGAUGGGAGCUUUGAAUUUUGGUUGAAAGGAAACACUAGUAUUCACUCAACAGUUGUGUAAUUAUUCGUGUUUUUUUGUUUUAGUACAAUAGGUAUUGGCUUUGCUAAAUUUGUUCAUUCAAUCGAGUUUCUUACACUAUUAUUAUUUCUUUCCAGAGGAUUGCAUAAAGCUGAGACUUGUUGAUGUGGGACUUGGAGGAGGAAAAAUAUAGCUGGUACCAAGUUAUGCACACUUUGGGAACUUGGAGGAAUUAGGUGCAAAGCAUUUUGAGAUGUUUUUACUUUAUAGUUGGUAUUUUAUUUUAUUGGAUCUGAAAUUAUAUUGUAUCUGAAAAUAUGUGAUUGUUGGAAUUUAUGAAUAAUUUUGUUAAAUGGAAGUCUAUUAUGGUGUAAGGUG